rnacentral:rRNA from 1 species
UACAGAGGGUGCGAGCGUUGUCCGGAAUCACUGUGCGUAAAGGGCGCGUAGGUGGUGGCUUAAGCGUGCGGUGAAAGCUCGGGGCUCAACUCCGAGUCGGCCGUGCGAACUGGGCUCACUGGAGCAUAGUAGAGGCAGGUGGAAUUCCGGGUGUAGCGGUGGAAUGCGUAGAGAUCCGGAAGAACACCGGUGGCGAAGGCGGCCUGCUGGGCUAUGGCUGACACUGAGGCGCGACAGCGUGGGGAGCAAACAGG